UGGCGGACGGGUGAGUAACGCGUGGGUAACCUACCUCACACAGGGGGAUAACAGUUGGAAACGACCGCUAAUACCGCAUAAGCCGGAAGGAUCGCAUGAUCCGGCCGGAAAAGAUUUAUCGGUGUGAGAUGGACCCGCGUCUGAUUAGCCAGUUGGCGGGGUAACGGCCUACCAAAGCGACGAUCAGUAGCCGGCCUGAGAGGGUGAACGGCCACAUUGGGACUGAGACACGGCCCAGACUCCUACGGGAGGCAGCAG
rnacentral:rRNA from 1 species